rnacentral:lncRNA from 10 species
GCUUUGUCGCCCAGGCUGGAGUGCAGCAGCGCGAUCUUGGCUCACUGCAACCUCCGCCUCCCAGAUGAUGAUUCUGAUACCGAGACGUCAAAUGACUUGCCAAAAUUUGCAGAUGGAAUCAAGGCCAGAAACAGAAAUCAGAACUACCUGGUUCCCAGUCCUGUACUUAGAAUUCUAGACCACACUGCCUUUUCUACAGAAAAAUCUGCUGAUAUUGUAAUUUGUGAUGAAGAGUGUGACUCACCUGAAUCAGUCAACCAGCAAACCCAAGAGGAGAGUCCUAUAGAAGUUCACACUGCUGAAGAUGUUCCAAUUGCUGUAGAAGUGCAUGCGAUUUCUGAGGAUUAUGAUAUAGAGACAGAAAACAAUUCCUCUGAGAGUCUCCAAGACCAAACUGAUGAAGAACCGCCAGCUAAACUUUGUAAAAUUCUUGACAAGAGCCAAGCUUUGAAUGUGACUGCCCAGCAGAAAUGGCCUUUACUGAGAGCUAAUAGCAGUGGCCUCUAUAAAUGUGAACUUUGUGAGUUUAACAGCAAAUAUUUUU